GUGAAUUGCAGAAUUCAGUGAAUCAUCGAAUCUUUGAACGCACAUUGCGCCCCUUGGUAUUCCGAGGGGCAUGCCUGUUCGAGCGUCAUU
rnacentral:rRNA from 2 species